rnacentral:lncRNA from 1 species
UUCGACGAAGGGGUGAAGGACGGAAACCUCAACAGGCAAUGGAUGGAGAGGAACAUCAGAUAGUCGCACCUGAGCCUCAUCCACAACAACCACAGUGCCCCGAAGGACUGUACAAUACGUCUCUUCAAUGAGGUAGUAGGAGCAUGUUGUUCGCCAUUUAUGGUUUGGCGAAGUAAGUUAAUCUCUACCAUUAUAUGUUGAAUCAUUUUUAAUUUUAAUUACUUAUAUUUUAUAACAUAUACUAUAAGUUAUUUUUAGGAGAGAAAUACC